rnacentral:tRNA from 1 species
GGGGAUUUAGCUCAGUGGUAGAGCGCUUGCCUCGAAAGCACAAGGCCCUGGGUUCGGUCCCCAGCUCCG